AUAAGGUGAGCACUGCGAAUCUUUAAGGCACACACUUCGUGUCCCAGUCUGCGUACGGGUGGCCAUGAAGUCCAGCGAUUAGCCACCUCUCUCAGCUGUAAUCCGGCCUGUCCACUUUGACCACCAGGUGACCAACAUGGCCCUUAAUACCGACCCGACGGGCACCUGUCAUUGGUCAGUGUGGGAAGGUCAGCGGCGGCCAUCCCCACCUGAAUAGCCAAUGGUCAGCACUCUUGUUAAGUGCGAUUAGUAAUGACUUGGGGUUGAAGUUAUUUGAGACACAGUGUAAAGGAAGACCCCAAUUAAGACUCAGCCGAGGACUGACCCAUGUCCACUGUGUCCAGUCACAAGGGUCCACUGUGAGUGUGGCCACUGUUCUGACCGUCUCCACACCUGCUCGGACGCUCAAGGAAACCGUCCAGCCUCAUUUCUCGGUAACCUCCCUUCACAUCGUAUAAGGUGGGCCUAUGAUAUCGCCGGAUUCCCUGCCUGUCACCCUGGACUGUGCUAGAUAAGAGACCAGCUGAAGAUAACUUCAUAACGAAGAGGGGAAGGGGACCUCCUUUUAAAAGUCAGUCAAGUCACAUCUAAUACACGUGUUCGUCCGAUGUCGAGGCUGGCGUGAGGAGGGCAUCCACUUGGAGAGAACCCAGAAAGCCGGAUACAAGUUGUGGCAUGUAACAAGUGGAUAAAGCGGCGUCAGCAGUUAAUAGG
rnacentral:lncRNA from 1 species